UACGGGGGGGGCAAGCGUUGUUCGGAAUUACUGGGCGUAAAGGGCUCGUAGGUGGCCAACUAAGUCAGACGUGAAAUCCCUGGGCUCAACCCAGGAACUGCGUCCGAUACUGGCAGGCUUGAAUCCGGGAGAGGGAUGUGGAAUUCCAGGUGUAGCGGUGAAAUGCGUAGAUAUCUGGAGGAACACCGGUGGCGAAGGCGGCAUCCUGGACCGGUAUUGACGCUGAUGCGCGAAAGCCAGGGGAGCAAACGGG
rnacentral:rRNA from 1 species